AUGCAGUCCCGGCUCCUGCUCCUCGGGGCGCCCGGCGGCCACUGCGGCCCGGCCGCGCGGCGCGUGCGGCUGCUCCUGCGGCAGGUGGUGCGGGGCAGGCCGGGCAGCGACGGGUGGCGGCCGGAGGUCAGACUGCUGCACGCCGGGGCGGGGGCUGACACAGGUGAUACAGUCAAUAUUGGAGAUGUAUCCUACAAGUUGAAAACUCCUAAGAGCCCAGAACUUGUACCACAGAACUACAUUUCAGACUCUCUGGCUCAAGCUGUAGUUCAUCAUCUAAGAUGGAUAAUGCAGAAAGAUCUUUUGGGACAAGAUGUCUUUCUAAUAGGACCUCCUGGGCCUCUUCGACGCUCUAUUGCUAUGCAGUACUUGGAGCUGACCAAACGGGAGGUUGAAUACAUUGCCCUGUCAAGGGACACCACUGAAACUGACCUCAAACAGCGUAGAGAGAUCCGUGCUGGCACGGCUUUUUACAUUGAUCAGUGUGCAGUUCGUGCAGCCACGGAAGGCAGAACUCUUAUUCUGGAAGGUUUGGAGAAGGCGGAGAGGAAUGUCCUGCCUGUUUUGAAUAAUUUGCUGGAAAACAGGGAGAUGCAGCUUGAAGAUGGACGCUUCUUGAUGUCUGCUGAACGUUAUGACAAACUUCUUCAAGAUCAUUCUAAAACAGAGUUGGAUGCUUGGAAGAUUGUCCGCGUUAGUGAAAAUUUCCGAGUGAUUGCCUUGGGUUUGCCAGUACCUAGGUACUCUGGUAAUCCAUUAGACCCCCCUCUACGUUCUCGGUUUCAAGCUAGAGAUAUUUAUUAUCUACCCUUCAAGGACCAACUGAAACUGUUAUAUUCAAUUGGAGCCAAUGUUUCUGCUGAAAAAGUUUCUCAGCUUUUGUCCUUUGCCACGACUCUCUGUUCCCAAGAAUCUUCUACUCUUGGACUUCCAGACUUCCCUUUAGAUAGUUUACCAGCUGCAGUUCAAAUCCUGGAUUUCUUUCCUAUGAUGUCAAUCAAACAUGCAAUCCAGUGGCUUUACCCAUAUACUAUUUUACUAGGACAUGAAGGGAAGAUGGCUGUGGAGGAUGUUUUAAAACGCUUUGAACUCCAGGAUUCAAGAAGCUCUAUACUUCCUAAAGAGAUUUUAAGAGUGGAGAGGAUGACUGAAAACCAUGUCUCCCAAGCUUCUGUAACUAUCCAGAUUGCAGAAAAAGAAGUGACCAUUAAGGUGCCAGCUGGGACCAGACCAUUAAGUAAACCUUGUGCACCAGACCAUUUCAUACAGACUUUAAGCCAUAAGCAACUACUUGCUGAAAUGAUGCAGUCUCACAUGGUUAAGGACAUAUGCUUAAUUGGAGGAAAAGGUUGUGGAAAAACAGUCAUCGCGAAGAACUUUGCUGAUACUUUAGGAUACAGCAUAGAACCUAUCAUGCUCUAUCAGGAUAUGACAGCACGUGACCUCCUGCAGCAAAGGUACACCCUUCCAAACGGAGACACUGCCUGGAGGUCCUCACCACUCGUGAAUGCUGCUCUGGAAGGGAAGCUGGUACUCUUGGAUGGCAUCCACCGGGUCAACACGGGCACACUAGCUGUACUGCAGAGGUUAAUCCAUGAUCGAGAGCUAAGCCUCUAUGAUGGCUCUAGGCUGCUGAGAUUAGACAGGUACACACGUUUAAAAGAGGAGCUGCAAAUGUCUGAUGAGCAGCUACGGAAGAGAUCCAUUUUUCCUAUCCACCCUUCCUUCAGAAUCAUUGCCUUGGCGGAGCCCCCUGUUAUUGGAAGUACGACACAGCAGUGGCUGGGACCAGAAUUUUUAACCAUGUUCUUUUUCCAUUACAUGAAACCGCUUGUCAAAAGCGAAGAAAUGCAAGUGAUUAAGGAAAUGGUCCCACAUAUACCUCAGAAAGCUUUGGAGAAAUUAUUGUCCUUUACACACAAACUCAGAGAGACACAGGAUCCAACAGCACAAUCUUUAGCAGCAUCACUUUCUACCAGACAACUGUUGCGGAUUUCACGUCGCCUGUCACAGUAUCCUAAUGAAAAUCUUCAUCGUGCUGUUAAUAAAGCCUGCCUUUCCAGGUUUUUACCUACUCUUGCAAGCUCAGCAUUAGAAAAAAAUCUGGCAGAUGCUGCAAUAGGAACAACUGCUGAUAACAGUCCAGAGCCAGAACUAAAGGAUUACAGCUGUGAAGUAUCAGCUGGCUGUCUGAGGAUUGGAGCUGUUAGUGCACCGAUCUAUAAUGCCCAUGAGAAAAUGAAAGUACCAGAUGUUCUGUUCUAUGACAACAUUCAGCACAUGAUAGUGAUGGAAGAUAUGCUCAAAGACUUUCUUCUUGGAGAGCACUUAUUAUUGGUUGGUAACCAGGGUGUUGGAAAAAACAAGAUUGUUGACAGAUUCCUUCACCUGCUCAACAGACCCCGAGAAUAUAUCCAACUGCACCGGGACACCACAGUACAAACUCUUACUCUUCAGCCUUCUGUUAAAGAUGGACUUAUUGUGUAUGAAGACUCACCUUUAGUUAAAGCAGUAAAGUUGGGUCAUGUUCUGGUGGUAGAUGAGGCAGACAAAGCUCCAACAAAUGUCACCUGUAUUUUAAAAACUUUGGUAGAAAAUGGGGAAAUGAUUCUAGCAGAUGGAAGACGCAUUGUUGCAAAUUCUGCUAAUGUGGAUGGAAGAGAAAAUGUUGUAGUGAUUCAUCCUGAUUUUAGGAUGAUUGUUCUGGCCAACAGACCUGGAUUUCCUUUCCUAGGCAAUGAUUUCUUCGGUACAUUAGGUGAUAUUUUUAGCUGCCAUGCAGUUGACAACCCCAAGCCCCAGUCGGAACUCGAGAUGCUCAGACAGUAUGGACCAAAUGUGCCCGAGCCAAUCCUUCAGAAGCUCGUGGCUGCCUUCGGAGAGCUGAGGAGUUUGGCUGACCAGGGGAUUAUUAACUAUCCUUAUUCAACCCGAGAAGUUGUCAACAUAGUCAAACAUUUACAGAAAUUUCCCACCGAAGGUCUCUCCAGUGUGAUUAGGAAUGUGUUUGACUUUGACUCCUACAACAACGACCUGAGGGAGAUUUUGAUGAACACUUUACACAAAUACGGAAUACCUAUCGGAGCAAAACCGACCAGUGUGCAUCUGGCAAAGGAGUUGCCUCUACCAGAGCAGACUUUCAUGGGAUACUGGACAAUUGGUCAGUCAAAAAAUGGAAUGCAAAAAUUUUUGUGUCCAGCAGAAACUCAUCAAAUAGACGUAAAGGGUCCAGCACUUAUAAACAUUCAGGAAUAUCCAAUAGAAAGACGUGAAGAACGAUCCCUAAGCUUUACUGAAGAAUGUGCCUCCUGGAAAUUACCACUGGAUGAAAUUAACUUAAUCUGUGAUGUUGCUAUAGCACAUGAAAAUGAGGAAAAUACUCUCUAUGUAGUUGCUUGUAAUCCUGUUUCCUUAUACUUUAUGAAUAUGACUGGGAAAAGUGGCUACUUUGUGGACUUUUAUGACAUCUUCCCAAGAACAGCCAGUGGCGUUUGGCAUCCAUUUGUGACAGUGGCACCUCUGGGAAACCCCCUCAAAGGUCAAGUGGUUCUCCACGAGCAGCAGAGUAAUGUCAUCCUGUUGUUAGAUACCACUAGCCGGACCCUUCGUCGUCUCAUCCUCUUUUCAGAAGAAGAGGUUAAGAAAUUUUCCUGGUGGAACAAGGAAGAGACUGAAACUUAUAAAAUGUGUAAAGAAUUUUCUCACAAAAACUGGCUAGUAUUCUACAAAGAAAAAGGGAACAAACUGACUGUGCUGGAUGUUCUAGAAGGACGAACUCACACCAUCUCACUUCCCAUCAAUCUCAACACGGUUUUCCUUGUAGCGGAGGACAAGUGGCUUCUGGUGGAGAACGAAACACAUCAAAAAUAUCUUUUAACUAAGCCUGCGCACAGCGAAUCUGAGGACAGAGGGGUUUGCCAGUUGCAUGUGUUGAAAGAGGAGCCAGCUAGCACAGGGUUUGGAGUUACACCAGAAAUAGAGCUCAGCAUACCUCACAAAGUUUCAACUGAUCAACUAUCAUCUGGAAAUCUAAGUUCAGCUGUGGGACAAAAGAUUGCAUCUCCCAACCGAAUUCUCUCAGAUGAGAAUAGUUAUGCUACAAUAGUGGUUGGGUUCCCAGAUCUCAUGUCACCUAGUGAAGUUUAUUCUUGGAAAAGGCAGUCAUCUUUGAGGAAACCAAGUGUCACUGACUUAGCAUUCUAUGGAGGAAAGAAGAAAAAUGGGGCUCCAAAACAAAGGAAUUGUGUGACUCUUUUAGACACCAAUCAAAUAGUCAGAAUUUUGCCCCCAGGAGAAGUUCCUCUAAAAGAUAUCUACCCAAGAGAUGUUACCCCUCCACAAAAAGCUGGUUAUAUAGAAGUUACCGAUCUUCAGUCCAAGAAACUCCGAUACAUCCCUAUUCCAAGAUCAGAAUCUCUCUCACCAUACACCACAUGGCUCUCCACCAUCACGGACGCAGACGCGCUGCUUGCUGAGUGGGGCAAAGGUGGCGUCGUCACUGUUGAUAUGGGAGGGUGCGUCAGGCUUUGGGAGACUGGCCUUGAACAUCUGCAGCGAUCGCUCAUGGAAUGGAGAAACAUGAUUGGACAAGAAGAUGACAGGCAUAUACAGAUAACAGUCAACAGAGAUAGUGGUAAAGAUGUGAGCGCCCCCAAACACGGAAAGGAGGACCCAGACAACAUGCCGCACGUGGGCGGCAACACCUGGGCUGGCGGAACAGGGGGAAGAGACACUGCAGGCUUGGGGGGCAAAGGAGGGCCUUACCGGCUGGACGCGGGCCAUACCGUGUACCAGGUCUCUGAAGCUGAGAAAGAUGCCGUUCCCGAGGAAGUGAAGAGAGCUGCAAGAGAGAUGGGCCAGAAAGCAUUUCAGCAGCGGCUAAAGGAGAUCCAAAUGAGUGAAUAUGAUGCUGCAUCCUAUGAAAGGUUUUCAGGUGCUGUUCGACGACAGGUGCACUCCCUCCGAGUCAUCCUGGAUAACUUACAGGCUAAAGGUAAAGAAAGACAGUGGCUAAGACACCAAGCUACUGGGGAACUGGAUGAUGCCAAGAUCAUUGAUGGGCUGGCUGGAGAGAAAACCAUCUAUAAACGUCGAGGCGAGCUAGAGCCACAACUGGGCAGCCCUCAGCAGAAACCCAAGCGACUGCGGCUGGUGGUGGAUGUGUCCGGCAGCAUGUACCGCUUCAACGGGGUGGACGGCCGGCUCGAGCGCUCAAUGGAGGCUGUAUGUAUGGUCAUGGAAGCCUUUGAGAACUAUGAAGAGAAGUUCAAGUAUGACAUCGUUGGACACUCUGGAGACACCUACAACAUUGACCUGGUUCCAAUUAACAACGUCCCCAAGGACAAUAAGCAAAGACUAGAGAUUCUGAAGACAAUGCAUGCCCACGCCCAGUUCUGCAUGAGUGGGGACCAUACGCUGCAGGGGACAGAACACGCCAUCAAGGAAAUUGUCAGAGAAGAAGCUGACGAGUACUUUGUCAUAGUCUUGAGUGAUGCCAAUCUGUCACGAUACGGAAUUCACCCAGCCAGGUUUGCCCAGAUCCUGACAAGCAACCCUCAAGUAAAUGCAUUUGCCAUUUUUAUUGGCUCUUUAGGUGAUCAAGCAACCAGUCUUCAGAGAACUUUACCAGCUGGUCGGUCUUUCGUUGCCAUGGAUACUAAGGACAUCCCUCAGAUUUUACAACAGAUCUUCACCUCCACCAUGUUGUCCAGUGUUUAAGAAAUGCCCUUCAUCACCCUGAUGACCCUGGGAUUUGAAGUAAGAUCUGAAUAAAGAAAACUGAAGAAAAGGAGACCUCUAUAAAGUGGACCCGUGCAAUGACUGAAUACGCCUGGCAUUCCUGGGUCUUUCAACACUUAGCUUACUCAGUAAUCAGAAUUCAGGAAAGCAGCCAGAGGGAGGCUUGGGCAUGGAAAUCUACAACCAUUGAAGGAUUUAGAAGUCAUUAGAGGAAUGAGCCCGUGUAACGCUGAGAAGGUUCAUUGUUCCCCGUGCACGGCCCGAAGGAAUGAAUGUUAUGAAUAGCUGCAGUAGACGAUGUGCAUCCCCCCUGGAAGCUUUUGUGCCGCAGCAAGAUGACCUCAUCCCAGAUGGGGCGGCUCCACCGCAGCCCAAGGAGCAGAUCAGAGCAGAAGUACUUGAGCCCAUCAGAUGUUUGAAAUGAAUCAUUUAAUUCUUUACACUACACCCUUUCCUGUUGGCGAGGGGGGGCAGGAAUCAAUCAAUGCCAGCAAGAUUUUCUCUAAAUAAACUCGAGGGCUCUGAAAGCCAUUUAGAAGUGGUUUUCCGCAGACAGCAUUGUCAGUCUUCCUGAAAGGCCAGCUCCAGAGGCUCAGCCCUCUCUCCACCUGGCUCCUUCCUGUGCACGUCAGCUCAGACAAAAUUAAAUUCCUCCACGAACAGGACAGAGAGAUACAGGCUGGGGGAGCCCCAGGGACAAUCCCUUAUUUAUGGCCUCGCUGUCUUUGUUGCCAGCAGUAGCAGUUCUCAGUAAUACCCAACAAAUUCGAGGCUGCUCUCUCCUACGUUGGCAACUUCUUUCUGGAAUUGUGUCUCAGAAAGAAUUAAAUGUCCACUUGUGCUCAGUUAAUUGAAUUUAACUUUUCAUUUGAUUAAGAAAUAAAAUGUCCACUUUAAAAAAAGAAUCAUUCCAACCAGCAAUAUAUAUAGUAUUUUACAGCACUUAAAUGAAGAGGCUAAUUUGCUUCCAGUUUCUGGUCAGGGUUGUAAGUUCCUACCAUUUUUCUUUUCUUUACCUUUUUUUUUAAGACUUGCCAUGGCAAAAGUACUACAGGUAAGGGAAAGGAAUUCCAAUUUUCCAUCUUAUAAUGGGGAAAAUUUACAAACUCUAGACAGAAUUAGUCAAAAGGAAAUUCUAAACCCUGCUCCGCCAUUAACCAUCCAGGUAAACUUGGGCUGGUCACUUUCGGGGCUCAGUUGCCCCAUCGAUGAAUUAAAUGGCUUAGACAUAAAGGGCACCUCACUCUAAAGCCUGGUGUUCUGCAUCCAGAGAUUGACUUUGUCAUUCGCCUUUCUUUUAAGAGCCACUUCGUUGCAGUGUACAUUUUGUCCCCAGGACCCCACAUACCCAUUAGUGAAGGGCCACCCAUCUGCCACUGUACAGAGGAUCUGGGCAUCUGUAUCAAUUGCCUGAACAAAAUAGCAUCACUGACAAAAUACACAUUUUAAAAGAUACGUAAAUAUCAUGAGAGUUGGACGAGAGGGGCUUUCCUGUCAGUGAACAGGUAUUUUGGUUUGAUAGUCAUUCCCAAGCUUUCGCUUUUCUCCCUUACUCUGCACUUUGCUUCCUUCAAGUAUAUUUAUGUAUCUGCUGAUCCGCCCAGUGGGAAUCGAAAAGGAUGAGGAGUUGGAAGACUACUGAGUGCCGAGAAUGACGGCUGAUCUCUGUGCCACGGCUGUACAGUGCCCACUUGUGUGGGUUUUCUUCUUAAUUGUUAAAUCCUGGCAAACAAAAGUCUCCUCCACAGGGGAAAAAUGCUUGCCAAGCAAACAUCUCAAGUUGAGAAGGGUUGACACUCUUCUUUGAGACUUCGCGCUGUCUGAGGCCCUAACCUGCAAACAGAGACUGCGUCUGUUCCGGCACAGCUGCACACGUGGGCUUUGGAAUGCCAGGCUUACAUAAUUUUUAAAUCGCGUGCUGCUUGUGGUAUUUGGCCACUCCGAGCAAAGUACAACACCCUUUUAAGGCGGUUUGGGCCCAGAGGAUGGAGAGAACGUCAUGUUCUGCUAUAAGAAAUCUCAUCAAGGGGGCAUGUAAACUCUAAGGCACAUCAGCUCCUUUGGCAGGCGCUGGGAAACCCCUAAGCUGUCCCUCUUCUCACAGGCUUCAUUGAAAGGACUUGGAGCUGGCCCUGAAGGAACAAUCAGAAGUGUUUGUCAAUAAGCUCAGACUCCAGCGGUGGUGGGCAUGAUCCAGAUGAGUGUCAGGAUCUAAGGAUUUAUUAAAUCUAAAUGCCACUCUGAAGCAUUAGUAAUGUAGCUGGAUUUUGACCUGGAGAGGGAUGGGAACAAGGUCUGUCUGAACAUCCUAAAGCAAGUUUGUCUCCUUACACAGGCCGGAAUGUGGCGAGGAAAGAAUGAGCCUGUCAACAUAAUUUGUGUAAUUGUUCUCAUUACUUCACGGUCAUACAUGAAGCCUUGUUGAUUCAAGCUUGAUGAAAAGUGAGUCCGUUUACGCAGGCAGUACGUUAAAGUUGGUUUGUCAAAUGCAAUAUAUUUAUGUUAAUAAAUACUGAUGCUAAUUUAA